rnacentral:lncRNA from 1 species
CGUGGCUAUAAGUGGGCGGUGUGGGCGGCCUCCCGGUGUUGCCUGCGGAGGGCUGCGCCUUUGUGCUCCGAGAAUCUUCUUGGUUGCGAUUCAGCUCUGUCCCGGGGCUGACUUUCUCGACUCCUGCACGACCCGCUGUUACCGCGAGUGGACGGCUCCUGGCCCUUCCUCCUGGAGGUGAGCGACCCUGUGGGCUUCCCCGCCUUCCCGCCCCUAUUCCCGGGCUGCGUGCCCCUCGGGCCGCCUCGGGUUCCUGGCCUGGGGCCGCGCUGCCUGGAGCGGGUGCUCCUUGCUCCGCCUCCAUUCGGGUCCGGGAGUCAGCCGCUCCAGCUGUGUUUUCAGGGAUGACCCUGUGUUACAUGACGCCCUCCCCAUGCUCGCUAGUGCUGGAUUAGGUGUCCCAGUCCUGCCCUCCCGAAGAACCCUUCUUGUCACAGCACUUGGCGCGGUGGGUGGGUGGUAACUGCCUCUCUUCUUGCUUAGAUUGUCCGCCCGAUGAGGAUAGGGUUCGUGUCUGCCGGACCCCGUGUGGCCGUAGUACCUUGCAGAGCGCCUAACACACUGUACUAUUCAGGGCGUAGUUGUUAAGUGAACUAGAUAGAUUUGACUGUUUUAGGAUUAUUUUUACUUAUCAAAAAUUUUAUGAUUAACAGGAACCUGACUGAGAUGUGAGGGAGACCUCUAGACAGGUUGCUUUCUCAAGGGCAUGUUCUUACAACUCCUCCCUCAGAAACAGACUCGGUUCUGGAAGAUUUUUGGCCCCUCUGUGCCCUGAGCUGUGGCACAGGGAUUGUGCAUUGCACCAGGCGGGAGGAGUAAAAAGGUUUUGCUUUAGAAGAAGUGAAAGUUGUUGGUUUUUUUUUUUUUUAAAGUUUAUUUAAAUUUUCAAGAGAGAGGGCACCCAUACAUGUGGGGGAGGGGCAGAGAGGGAGAGAAUCCCAAGCAGGGUCUGUGCUGUCGGAGCCCGAUGCUGGGCUGGAACCCACAAACUGUGGGAUCAUGACCUGAGCCUAAAUCAAGGGUAGGGGGGAAGCUUACCCCUGAGCCACCCAGGUGCCCUAGAAGAUGUAAAAGUUUUGAGGAGUGCUUUUGAGUUAGCCCCAGAAGUAAGUCUAGCUCUGGGGCCAUGGAGUUUAUAGUGUAAAUAUGCUGGGAGAUUCUGUUGCGGAAGAACAUGCGCUGGUCCCUAUCUCCCUGUUUUAGCUCCCUAGGAAGACAGUAGUCAGGGCCAGAUGCGUGCAUAUCCCAGAAGGCUUAUAGGUUAACCACAUCUCUCUUUCCUCAGCAUCCAGAGGCCUUCCAGAAGUGGAAGCUUUACUGCUCUGCAGAGGAGUGUGGGGUCCUUUCAGCCAUGAAGCCUCUGUUGAACCUCUAUCUCUUAGGUGUGGUGUUGACGCUGCUCUCCAUUUUCGUUAGACUGAUGGAGUCCCUGGGAGGCUUACUGGAGAGCCCGUUACCUGGGAGCUCCUGGACCACCAGAAGUCAACCAGCCAGCACAGAGCCCCCUAGGGCCUUCCAGACCAUCCAUCCAGAGGGAUGUGAUAAGACCUCACUCCACCGGCUAUAACCUUGGAACACCAGGCAGGGUCCGGGCAGGAACUGCGCAGGCAGGCUCCGAACAUCAGUAUUAUCGGAACUGUUACCAGGCCCUUGAAGGGCCUCUCCGUCUGGAUGCUCCUGUCCUGGAAAAAGAGCCUGUCCGAUGUGAACGGGUUGCCUAUGACUGUGAUGGAAUGAUGUCACUCUUCCCGGGGUCUGCUGUACCCUCUGGUGUCCUUGACAACAGUUCUCUGACAUCUCUUAGCUAGGGGCUUGUGCUUCAUGUUCAGCCGUUGGGAGAUGGUGUCGUUUUCGUCCCUGCUUCCUCAACAUCUGCCAAGAGUUCCUUCGGACUUGCGCGUCUUAUGGUCAGUCUGUAUGGUGUUCAGCCUCUCUUCGGUGAGAGCUUGUCUGUGUGGGAGUGAUGUAUGGGUUGGUGUAUGGGAGGGGGAAUGAUGAAAUAGUGUCCAAUUCUUAUUGUUUCACAUGUUAAAUGCCCUCUCUCCCACAUACAGCGAACUUGUGAAUAUCAGUCUGAAGGGGACACUGGGAUGACAAAGCCUGCUCAGGACAUGGCAUUAUGGCCACCAUGUGGCUUAAAUGGAUUUCUAAUGAAAUAAAA